rnacentral:rRNA from 1 species
AGAGUUUGAUCAUGGCUCAGAUUGAACGCUGGCGGCAGGCCUAACACAUGCAAGUCGAACGGUAACAGGAAGCAGCUUGCUGCUUCGCUGACGAGUGGCGGACGGGUGAGUAAUGUCUGGGAAGCUGCCUGAUGGAGGGGGAUAACUACUGGAAACGGUAGCUAAUACCGCAUAAUGUCGCAAGACCAAAGAGGGGGACCUUCGGGCCUCUUGCCAUCGGAUGUGCCCAGAUGGGAUUAGCUUGUUGGUGGGGUAACGGCUCACCAAGGCGACGAUCCCUAGCUGGUCUGAGAGGAUGACCAGCCACACUGGAACUGAGACACGGUCCAGACUCCUACGGGAGGCAGCAGUGGGGAAUAUUGCACAAUGGGCGCAAGCCUGAUGCAGCCAUGCCGCGUGUAUGAAGAAGGCCUUCGGGUUGUAAAGUACUUUCAGCGGGGAGGAAGGGAGUAAAGUUAAUACCUUUGCUCAUUGACGUUACCCGCAGAAGAAGCACCGGCUAACUCCGUGCCAGCAGCCGCGGUAAUACGGAGGGUGCGAGCGUUAAUCGGAAUUACUGGGCGUAAAGCGCACGCAGGCGGUUUGUUAAGUCAGAUGUGAAAUCCCCGGGCUCAACCUGGGAACUGCAUCUGAUACUGGCAAGCUUGAGUCUCGUAGAGGGGGGUAGAAUUCCAGGUGUAGCGGUGAAAUGCGUAGAGAUCUGGAGGAAUACCGGUGGCGAAGGCGGCCCCCUGGACGAAGACUGACGCUCAGGUGCGAAAGCGUGGGGAGCAAACAGGAUUAGAUACCCUGGUAGUCCACGCCGUAAACGAUGUCGACUUGGAGGUUGUGCCCUUGAGGCGUGGCUUCCGGAGCUAACGCGUUAAGUCGACCGCCUGGGGAGUACGGCCGCAAGGUUAAAACUCAAAUGAAUUGACGGGGGCCCGCACAAGCGGUGGAGCAUGUGGUUUAAUUCGAUGCAACGCGAAGAACCUUACCUGGUCUUGACAUCCACGGAAGUUUUCAGAGAUGAGAAUGUGCCUUCGGGUACCGUGAGACAGGUGCUGCAUGGCUGUCGUCAGCUCGUGUUGUGAAAUGUUGGGUUAAGUCCCGCAACGAGCGCAACCCUUAUCCUUUGUUGCCAGCGGUCCGGCCGGGAACUCAAAGGAGACUGCCAGUGAUAAACUGGAGGAAGGUGGGGAUGACGUCAAGUCAUCAUGCCCCUUACGACCAGGGCUACACACGUGCUACAAUGGCGCAUACAAAGAGAAGCGACCUCGCGAGAGCAAGCGGACCUCAUAAAGUGCGUCGUAGUCCGGAUUGGAGUCUGCAACUCGACUCCAUGAAGUCGGAAUCGCUAGUAAUCGUGGAUCAGAAUGCCACGGUGAAUACGUUCCCGGGCCUUGUACACACCGCCCGUCACACCAUGGGAGUGGGUUGCAAAAGAAGUAGGUAGCUUAACCUUCGGGAGGGCGCUUACCACUUUGUGAUUCAUGACUGGGGUGAAGUCGUAACAAGGUA